GGUAACAACACGUUGAAACACCGGCUCCCGUACGAUCACCGCAGUUAAGCAAUGUUGAGCCUGGUCAAUACCUAGACGGGUGACCGCCUGGUAAUACCAGUUGUUGUAAG